AGUAGGUGGGGCCGCCGAGUGGGUUGAGCGUUACUGUGGCAGCGGGCAUCCCAGGGUGCGUGCGGUGCAGGGUGUGCAAGAAAAUGCGAGGUUGGAGGAGGAGCUUUAAAUGGAUUUGGACUCCUCAGGAGGAUUUGCUAAUGGUCUGAACAAGUGAAUAGAGCACUGCAAAAGAUUUGUAUACUAUUCCCGUUUUGAUCUUUUCUGCCAAUCUCUACCAAGAACUUGAUUAAAGAUCUGAGACGCUGUCCCUGGCCUACCCAAGUUUUAAUCUUCUCUUAAAUGUCAACUCAACAACAACACAUAUGGCAAGGGUAAAAACCCUCAAUGUAGAGUUUUUACAAAUCAACAAGAAAAUAAAGAUGAACGUUCGAACUGAAAAAUAUGUGCAACAGAAACAAAACCCAAAAUGGCCAGUAAAUGUGAUAGGAGGUUCAACAGGAAAAUGGAUAUCCAUACCCUACUAGUGGAAUUUUUAAUUGGUACAACAUUGCUGGAAGGCAGUUUAAUAGCAUUUGUGAAAAGCCUUUUAAAAAAAUGUAUACAUUUGACUUAGCAAUUUUACUUCUGGGAAAGAAUGGAACAAAUUUGCAAAUACACAAACACAAGCGCACAUAUCAUGGGAAUAAUUGGAACAUUGUUUAUAAUAGUGAAACACUGAGAAAAGUUCAUUGAUAAGGGAUUUGGUGUGUAAAUUAUGUUAUAUCUAUAAUAGAAUACUAUAUAGCCAUAAAAUUAUAACAUUGCCAUUUAUUUAUUUAUUUGUGUGGAAAGAUGUUCACAACAAAUUAAAAUUAAGAAGAGCUAAUAAAUUAGUAUUGUGUUUGUAUGUGUACAUAUGUAUGUUUAUAUAUAUGUAUUAAUACACAUAUAUUUCCAUUAUUUUUAAACUUAUUUAUAUGUGUAAAUUUUCAUAGAAAGCAAUACAUACACAAAAAUUUUAAUGAUCAUUUCCUCCAAGUAAUCAUAUUUUAGGUCAUUGUUAUUUUAUUUUUUAUCUUUUUCUUAAUUUCCUCAACUUUUUACAUUGGGCAUUUAUUAUGUUAUUAGAAAAAACAAUAAAAACUUAUUUUAAACUUGUA
rnacentral:lncRNA from 1 species